rnacentral:rRNA from 1 species
UACGGAGGGAGCUAGCGUUGUUCGGAAUUACUGGGCGUAAAGCGCACGUAGGCGGCUUUGUAAGUUAGAGGUGAAAGCCCGGGGCUCAACUCCGGAACUGCCUUUAAGACUGCAUCGCUUGAAUCCGGGAGAGGUGAGUGGAAUUCCGAGUGUAGAGGUGAAAUUCGUAGAUAUUCGGAAGAACACCAGUGGCGAAGGCGGCUGACUGGUCCGGUUCUGACGCUGAGGCGCGAAAGCGGUGGGGAGCAAACAGGG